rnacentral:rRNA from 1 species
UUCCGGUUGAAUCUGCCGGAGGCCAUUGCUAUCGGAGUCCGAUUUAGCCAUGCUAGUUGUGCGGGUUUAGACCCGCAGCGGAAAGCUCAGUAACACGUGGCCAAACUACCCUGUGGAUGGGAAUAAUCUCGGGAAACUGAGGCUAAUUCCCAAUAAUGCUCCACCCCUGGAAUGGGUGGAGCUGGAAACGGUACGGCGCCACAGGAUGUGGCUGCGGUCGAUUAGGUAGACGGUGGGGUAACGGCCCACCGUGCCAAUAAUCGGUACGGGUUGUGAGAGCAAGAGCCCGGAGACGGAAUCUGAGACAAGAUUCCGGGCCCUACGGGGCGCAGCAGGCGCGAAACCUUUACACUGUACGCAAGUGCGAUAAGGGGACUCCGAGUGUGAAGGCAUAGAGCCUUCACUUUUGUACACCGUAAGGUGGUGCACGAAUAAGGGCUGGGCAAGACCGGUGCCAGCCGCCGCGGUAAUACCGGCAGCCCGAGUGAUGGCCGAUAUUAUUGGGCCUAAAGCGUCCGUAGCUGGCCGGACAAGUCCGUUGGGAAAUCUGUCCGCUUAACGGGCAGGCGUCCAGCGGAAACUGUUCGGCUUGGGACCGGAAGACCUGAGGGGUACGUCCGGGGUAGGAGUGAAAUCCUGUAAUCCUGGACGGACCACCGGUGGCGAAAGCGCCUCAGGAGGACGGAUCCGACAGUGAGGGACGAAAGCUAGGGUCUCGAACCGGAUUAGAUACCCGGGUAGUCCUAGCUGUAAACGAUGCCCGCUAGGUGUGGCGCAGGCUACGAGCCUGCGCUGUGCCGUAGGGAAGCCGAGAAGC